rnacentral:rRNA from 1 species
UUCGUAGGUGACCUGCGGAGGAUCAUUACCGGGCUCAGGGGGGAAAACCCCCCGAACUCCCAACCCUUGCUUACCUACCACGUUGCUUCGGGGGACGUCAGUCCCCCGGAGGUCAAUCAAACUCUCGUUUACAGACGUCAGAGCGAAUGCGAAAAUAAGUAAAAACUUUCAACAACGGAUCUCUUGGUUCUGGCAUCGAUGAAGAACGCAGCGAAAUGCGAUAAGUAAUGUGAAUUGCAGAAUUCAGUGAAUCAUCGAAUCUUUGAACGCACAUUGCGCCCCUUGGUAUUCCGAGGGGCAUGCCUGUCCGAGCGUCAUUUCACCAAUCGAGCCCCGCUCGGUAUUGGGCCUCGUCCCCACAGGACGGGCCUCGAAGACCCCGGCCGCGCGGUCCCGCUUCAGGCGUAGCAGAGCUUUCGCAGCCUCGCCUUGGAAGCGUGUCCGUGCCGCGCCGAACGACGAACCCCUUUCUAUCAAGGUUGACCUCGGAUCAGGUAGGGAUACCCGCUGAACUUAAGCAUAUCAAUAAGCGGAGGAA